GGUCCAUACUGAAGAGUAGGCAACGUGCUGACUCCUCAGGUCCCUUCCUAGCAUCGUCACCAUCCCCAGCUGCCUCUCUCCCAGUGGGCUCCAGUAGUGCUGUGGUGGGCAGAGGAUGCUGACAUUCGGUUAUGACCCGGUUCUGCUUUCCUUGGCAGCCCAGGGAAGACGCCAUGGUUGGCAUGCCACAGCUGGUCACGAAAAGGUUUGAUUGUUGGGAAUGCUGCUCUCUGUGGUUAUGAUGUGACAUUGCAAGCUGAGACC